AUUCUCCUGCCUCAGCCUCCCGAGCAGCUGGGACUACAGGCACCCGCCACCAAGCCCGGCUAGUUUUUUGUAUUUUUUUAGUAGAGACGGCGUUUCACUGUGUUAGCCAGGAUGGUCUCGAUCUCCUGACCUCGUGAUCCACCCACCUCGGCCUCCCAAAGUGCUGGGACCACAAGCGUGAGCUACUGCAGCCGGCCGCCAUUUCUUUUCUGUAAGUCCUGAAGAUUCUGAAAAGAAACGCACUAAUUAUCAAGCUUAUCGAAGCUACUUAAAUCGAGAAGGUCCCAAGGCUCUGGGCUCCAAAGAAAUACCAAAGGGAGCUGAAAAUUGCUUGGAAGGCCUUAUAUUUGUAAUCACAGGCGUGCUGGAGUCUAUUGAACGAGAUGAGGCCAAGUCUCUAAUUGAACGUUAUGGGGGAAAAGUAACAGGAAAUGUCAGCAAGAAAACAAAUUAUCUUGUCAUGGGUCGUGAUAGUGGACAGUCC
rnacentral:sRNA from 1 species